rnacentral:rRNA from 6 species
CCUGGCGGCUGUAGCGCGGUGGUCCCACCUGACCCCAUGCCGAACUCAGAAGUGAAACGCCGUAGCGCCGAUGGUAGUGUGGGGUCUCCCCAUGCGAGAGUAGGGAACUGCCAG